UACGUAGGGGGCAAGCGUUGUCCGGAAUCAUUGGGCGUAAAGCGCGUGUAGGCGGCCAGAAAAGUCCGCUGUGAAAACUCGAGGCUCAACUUCGAGCUGUCGGUGGAAACUUUCUGGCUAGAGUCCGGAAGAGGAGAAUGGAAUUCCUGGUGUAGCGGUGAAAUGCGCAGAUAUCAGGAAGAACACCCGUGGCGAAGGCGGCUCUCUGGUACGGAACUGACGCUGAGACGCGAAAGCGUGGGGAGCGAACAGG
rnacentral:rRNA from 1 species